UACGGGAGGCAGCAGUGGGGAAUUUUCCGCAAUGGGCGAAAGCCUGACGGAGCAAUACCGCGUGAGGGAGGAAGGCUCUUGGGUUGUAAACCUCUUUUCUCAGGGAAGAAGUUCUGACGGUACCUGAGGAAUCAGCAUCGGCUAACUCCGUGCCAGCAGCCGCGGUAAUACNGGAGGAUGCAAGCGUUAUCCGGAAUGAUUGGGCGUAAAGCGUCCGCAGGUGGCACUCCAAGUCUGCUGUCAAAGGUCGGGGCUCAACUCCGAACAGGCAGUGGAAACUGGAGAGCUAGAGCGCGGUAGGGGCAGAGGGAAUUCCCGGUGUAGCGGUGAAAUGCGUANAGAUCGGGAAGAACACCAGUGGCGAAAGCGCUCUGCUAGGCCGCAACUGACACUCAGGGACGAAAGCUAGGGGAGCGAAUGGGAUUAGAUACCCCAGUAGUCCUAGCCGUAAACGAU
rnacentral:rRNA from 1 species